GCCCGUAACACUGGGAUCCCCCUGAGUAACUGGGGCAAACAUCCCUCUAGGAGCGCCAUACCGCAUGGCCGCCUGUUUGAAACAUUUAUCUGUUUGUGGAUGGACUCUCGACCCAUCAGCUUAUUUGGUGACGUACCGGCUCACCGACGAAACGACGGGUAUCCGGCCUGAGAGGGUGACCGGCCACACUGGGACUGAGACACGGCCCAGACUCCUACGGGAUGCAGCAGUGGGGAAUAUUGCACAAUGGGCGCAAGCCUGAUGCAGCGACGCCGCGUGAGGGAUGACGGCCUUCGGGUUGUAAACCUCUUUCAGUAGGGAAGAAGCGAAAGUGACGGUACCUGCAGAAGAAGCACCGGCUAACUACGUGCCAGCAGCCGCGGUAAUACGUAGGGUGCGAUCGUUAUCCGGAAUUAUUGGGCGUAAAGAGCUCGUAUGCUGUUUGCCGCGUCUGUCGUGAAAGUCCGGGGCUUAACCCCGGAUCUGCGGUGGGUACGGGCAGACUAGAGUGCAGUAGGGGAGACUGGAAUUCCUGGUGUAACGGUGGAAUGCGCAGAUAUCAGGAGGAACACCGAUGGCGAAGGCAGGUCUCUGGGCUGUAACUGACUCUGAGGAGCGAAAGCAUGGGGAGCGAACAGGAUUAGAUACCCUGGUAGUCCAUGCCGUAAACGUUGGGCACUAGGUGUGGGGACCAUUCCACGGUUUCCGCGCCGCAGCUAACGCAUUAAGUGCCCCGCCUGGGGAGUACGGCCCGCAGGGUUAAAACUCAAAGGAAUUGACGGGGGGCCCGCACAAGCGGGCGGAACAUUGCGGGAUUAUUUCGAUUGCACCGCAAAAAAACCUUACCAAGGGCUUGACAUUGUUCUCCGAUCCCCCGUUGAAGAUACCGGUUUUCCCCUUUGGGGGGCGGGUUUACAAGGGGGUGCAUGGGUUGUCCUUCCGCUCCUGUGUCGUGAAAAUGUUGGGGUUUAAAGCCCCCCAACCGAACCGCCAACCCCUUCUUUCUCAUUUUUG
rnacentral:rRNA from 1 species